GGGGGUCCCAGCUCCGGACCACCAGCGCUGGCCGACAGAGCUGAAAGGUUCGCGGUCUAUGAGCUAGUCCCGGACCUUGCAAGGGCUCUGAAAUAUUCGUGCGAGGAUGGGUUAGAAGUGGCGUAUGGGUCCGGACCAUUGAGCUUUCUGGGAGAGUCUCCACACGUGGGUCCCAAACCCCCAGCCCGGCUCUCACCAAGUGGAGAGACGGCCAAGGUCAAGAAGACUGUAUCAAACUGCACAAGCUGGAGACAUCCACAAUCUGUACAGAAGAAGCUGCCGGCAGUCUUCCCUCAGGGAGCUGACAGUCUAGCCUUGUGCAAGUAUCAUUGCCGUCAUUUUUGGGUGGGGGACCCUUCAGGAGUGGUUUCAUCAGGGAGAUCAGGCCAGAGGCAAAGGAUGCAAGUGGCACUCUCACUCAGGCCAGCAAUGAAAGGGAAGAAAGGGGAAUGAUUUGCACAGGCUUUGUGUCUUUGGUGGCUAAAAGAUCAAGUAGAAGGAAGAACAAAACAUUCCAUUUUGUUGUAAGCCAUCCUGUACUUUGAUUUUAUGGCACUUACAUAUUUUGUAAUGAUACGUUUUUCUGGUAUGAGAGCUAAAACAUUAUAGAAUGAACUCUGGCAUCUGACUAUCUAUCUUGGAUUUCUGGGUAACUCAGUAGCCAGC
rnacentral:lncRNA from 1 species